GACGAACGCUGGCGGCGUGCCUAAUACAUGCAAGUUGAGCGAUGAAGAUUGGUGCUUGCACCAAUUUGAAGAGCAGCGAACGGGUGAGUAACGCGUGGGGAAUCUGCCUUUGAGCGGGGGACAACAUUUGGAAACGAAUGCUAAUACCGCAUAACAACUUUAAACAUAAGUUUUAAGUUUGAAAGAUGCAAUUGCAUCACUCAAAGAUGAUCCCGCGUUGUAUUAGCUAGUUGGUGAGGUAAAGGCUCACCAAGGCGAUGAUACAUAGCCGACCUGAGAGGGUGAUCGGCCACAUUGGGACUGGGAUACGGCCCAAACUCCUACGGGAGGCAGCAGUAGGGAAUCUUCGGCAAUGGACGAAAGUCUGACCGAGCAACGCCGCGGGAGUGAAGAAGGUUGUCGGAUCGUAAAACUCUGUUGGUAGAGAAGAACGCUGGUGAGAGUGGAAAGCUCAUCAAGUGACGGUAACUACCCAGAAAGGGACGGCUAACUACGUG
rnacentral:rRNA from 1 species